rnacentral:sRNA from 1 species
GCUGGGCAUGGUGGUGCAUGUCUGUAAUCCUUGUGGCUCUGGAGGCUGAGAUAGGAGGAUGAGAAUGGGGAAUUCAAAGCUAUCCUCAGCAAUUUGGAGGUGGUAAGCUACUCAGGGAGACUCUGUCUCUA